rnacentral:rRNA from 1 species
GACAGAGGGUGCAAGCGUUGUUCGGAAUCACUGGGCGUAAAGCGCGCGCAGGCGGGUGGAUAAGUCUGAAGUGAAAUUCCGGGGCUCAACUCCGGAGCUGCUUCGGAUACUGUCCACCUGGAGACUGGUAGAGGCCGGUGGAAUUCCCGGUGUAGCGGUGGAAUGCGUAGAGCUCGGGAAGAACACCAGUGGCGAAGGCGGCCGGCUGGGCCAGGUCUGACGCUGAGGCGCGAAAGCGUGGGGAGCAAACAGG